GGUGGGUUGGCCGAGCGGCUUAAGGCAACGGAUUGCUAAUCCGUGGGGGCGAAAGCCCCACAGAGGUUCGAAUCCUCUACCCACCG
rnacentral:tRNA from 1 species